rnacentral:tRNA from 1 species
GGUUCCUUAGCUCUAAUUGGUUAGAGCGGCAUCUUGUUAAGUUGAGGGUUGCUGGAUUCGAAUCCAGCAGGAACCG